rnacentral:lncRNA from 1 species
AGAGGGGCUGAGGGGGCGGGGUCGCGGCCGCCUCACGGCGCCCUGCCAGUGCCUCGGCGGGCGUGGUGCUGGCGGGGUGUUGUGCCGGGAGGCCCGCAGGAAGCCCCUAGGAAGCCAAGUCCGUGCAGCUUCUAGCUUCUGGGAGCUCAUCAUAGAAUCACAGAACGGUUUGAGUUGGAAGGGACCCUUAAAGACCAUCCGCACCAACCCCCCUGCAAUGAACAGGGACACCUACAGCCAGAUCAGGUGCUCACAGCCCCGUCCAGCCUGACCUUGGUUGUCUCCAGGGCCAGGGCAUCCACCACUUCUGAGGUGGUGAAUGUAUGUCACAAAUACCUCUUCACAGCAAAAACUUUGCUUUUAAUAAGCUCCAAUAGUACAUAGCCCAAGAAACAAAGCACUCAGCAGAGACAACAAGGAGAGGCUUUUAUCUUCCUAAGUUGAACACUAAGGCACAGUUUAAUGUUGUGGAAGACCACACUGUCAGCCUGCUUGCCACAAUACAACCAUUGGAAAGAGUUUCCUAGCCUCAUACUGGAUAAGAAUCUAGCCUGGGUUCUUGCUGGUAUCACUGGCUGCUGUUGUCAGCCUUCAGCCUAACAUAGCUAGCAAGACAGAUUUUCCCAUAGGAAGAAUUGGAACACAGAUAUCUAAUUAAUUUUAAAUAGAAUCUUAAUCAUUAUACAGGAGAUGCUUUGUCAUACAAUUGAAUCUGGCUGAAGGGAACUGAGUGAGAACUAGUAGAGGUAAGAGGAAGGCUAAAAAAAAUAGUGCUUUACUGUUCUACAACGUGAUAUGCACUGGUGAUUCAAUGUUCAAUUAAAGGAGACGGCUAACAGAACUGCUAGCUGCAAAGGGUUUAUUUCCAGAGGAGGAGAGGAAAAGGCUAAAGGGAGAAAGAAAGCUAGGGAGUUUGUAGAGAAAUUAGAUGUGCAUCAGUUUGGCUGAACCUGACUGAUCAAUAGAUUUGCACAAACAGUAAGCAGUCUCAAACAUACUAGCAAUUAAGUUGAAAAGACGUGGAGGAUUGGG